GAUAUCUUCACCAAACUCGGUACACAUGUGUAUAAGCUAAAUUUUUGGUCAAAUAAAAAAAAUUGCGCACCUCUGCCACUUGGGGGCGCUAUAAGACAGAAAAAACACAUAAAUGGCUAUAACUAGGCAACCGUUGGUCCGAUCGACUUGAAAAUUGGUAUGCAGUUUCUUUGUCUGAAGGGGCACAAAUAUCUAUGAGGACAUUGGCGUAUCUCAAAAAACAUGGCCGCCAUUGGCUAAUGAAAUUUGAGCUAUUAUUAGACAAGGUUAACGGAGGUCAAUCAGAACGAAACUUGGUAGGCAUGUUCGACUCAUGGCCCUAAAGGUCUGUAAGAAUUUUGAAAGAAAUCGGCCACUAGUUGGCGCUAACGAGUUUUUUGGCUCUGUAAUCACGUGGUGUUUCACAUAUGCAUGCAAUAUGGAUAUCAUUUGAUAGAGCUCCUCAUAAUGCACAACUUUGCCUCAAGAACCAUUACUGUCAGUCAAAUCGUUCAUGAAUUAUUCACAAAUAUGUUAAAAACAUACUUUUGCGAACUAGUCCUAGGUUUUUCGCCUAAUCAGAACCAAACCACUGCAGUAAUAUUCUCUGGACUCUGUAGAUCAAUAAUUAUCAAAAAAAUGUUGAAUUUUGUCCUUUGGUUAGCUAUAACUGGGUCAUUUUUAAAAGGGGCGUGGCCAAAUAUACUCAAAAGCCUAUAAAACCUAAAUCAAAACUCAAAACUUUAUGAAACUUGGUGAAAACAUGUAGCAGAUGACUCUUAACAAGCAUGCAAAGAUUCAUGGAGAUCGGACCAUAGGUGGCGCUAUAACAGUUAAAAGAGCAUCAAAAAACACAAGAUUUCAAUAGAAAAUGACCUCAUAUUGUAGAACAUGUUCAUAUAUUCACAGAAACACAAGAUCUUCAUAUCAUAUGAUAGAACUCCUCAGUCUGAACAACUUUGCCUCUAGGCCUAAUGCUGUCAAUCAAAUCGUUCAUUAAAUAUUCACAAAUAUGUUAAAAACAUACUUUCGCGAACUAGUGCUAGGUUUUCCACUUAAUCUCGAUCAAACUACUACAGAACAAUUCUCU
ensembl:lncRNA